AUUGAACGCUGGCGGCAGGCCUAACACAUGCAAGUCGAACGAGUGGCGGACGGGUGAGUAAUGUCUGUGAAACUGCCCGCUGGAGGGGGAUAACUACUGGAAACGGUAGCUAAUACCGCAUACCCUCGGAUUUUCCCAGAUGGGAUUAGCUAGUAGGUGGGGUAACGGCUCACCUAGGCGACGAUCCCUAGCUGGUCUGAGAGGAUGACCAGCAACACUGGAACGGAGACACGGUCCAGACUCCUACGGGAGGCAGCAGGGGGGAAUAUUGCACAAUGGGCGCAAGCCUGAUGCAGCCAUGCCGCGUGUAUGAAGAAGGCCUUCGGGUUGGAAAGUACGUUCAGCGAGGAGGCGUUACUCGCAGAAGAAGCACCGGCUAACUCCGUGCCAGCAGCCGCGGUAAUUC
rnacentral:rRNA from 1 species